AGAGAAGAAGAAAAAGAAAA
rnacentral:miRNA from 1 species